UGUGGAAUGAACCCAUGAAAGAUGCACUGA
rnacentral:piRNA from 1 species